CUUAAAAAAAAAAAAAAAAAAGACACUAUGGCAGAGUAUAUGUAUGCACGUUUUUAAAACCCAUAGCAACCCACAUAAUUUGGGACAAAGUAUCAAAAAGCUAAUUUAUUGAAUAUCACGCCGCAAAUGAAUCAAAUUACUGAUGUUACUCUCAGUAAAGCAAGUCAACGGAAAAGAACCAACACGUCAAAAAUUUCUACCACAUUUACUCAGGAAUCAAACAGGAAGUAAUCAAUUUCUUAAAACAAAACAAAACAAAACAAA
rnacentral:misc_RNA from 1 species